rnacentral:tRNA from 1 species
AAGACUUUAAGUUAAAUAAACUAAAAACCUUCAAAGUUUUAAAUAGAGUUUUCUAAGUCUUG